AUCGGUUUCGACGAGGGUCGCGAAACUCCAGGUGCAUGUCGAGGUGCAGUGACCUCGUAAAUCCAUCUGCAAACUUAUAGUUGCCAACGACGACAACUACGCACUCGCCGCCUAAAACCCGGUAGGGUGCCGUCUGACCGGAGCCGUGCUUGUGCGUCCGUCAUCAGACGUCAUCUCUCACAAGAUCGCCGCAAAGCUCGUCCGGGGUGGAGCGGUUAAAACUUAACCGGAAUCGCCGUUCGUCUUCCCUGCCCAUCGGGUAGCGGCCGGUUAAAUUAAUUGAUGCGGAUAAGCAUGUAGAUCCUGGGGCGGAGGGCUCGCGGACGCGGGUUCGAUUA
rnacentral:tmRNA from 1 species